rnacentral:rRNA from 1 species
GGGGAAUCUUGCGCAAUGGGGGAAACCCUGACGCAGCGACGCCGCGUGAGCGAUGAAGGCCUUCGGGUUGUAAAGCUCUGUGGCUGGAGACGAAGAAGUAUAGAUUAACACUCUAUGCGGUGACGGUAUCCAUUUAGCAAGAACAGGCUAACUCUGUGCCAGCAGCCGCGGUAAGACAGAGGGUGCAAACGUUGUUCGGAAUUACUGGGCGUAAAGCGCGUGUAGGCGGCUUUGCAAGUCGGAUGUGAAAUCCCGCGGCUCAACCGUGGAAGUGCACCCGAAACUGCAUCGCUAGAGUAUCGGAGAGGAAAGUGGAAUGCUUGGUGUAGAGGUGAAAUUCGUAGAUAUCAAGCGGAACACCGGUGGCGAAGGCGGCUUUCUGGACGAUUACUGACGCUGAGACGCGAAAGCGUGGGUAGCAAA